AAAUGCAAAUUUAAAUAAGGCGUUGACAAUAUGAGGUUUACAAAGACAGAGUGAGAUUGUGUGUUAGCAGUAUGCCAGUAGCAAUGGAAGUCCUUCGACAUUUGGGUGUUGGUAUCACUACUCCAAGACUUGUGUCACCGCCACUCCGACCACCGAACCCAAAGACAACCCAUAAGCUCAACGCCGUCAGUGGCGGCGCUAGUAGUGUUCCCAAUAACUACUCCGCCAGCAAAUGGGCCAACCGCCUCCUCGCCGACUUCCAAUUCCUCCCCAACACCAUCAUCGAUUCUCCAGACCACCACCGUUCUCCUCCAUCCACAACCACCACUCUCACUCCUCCCCCGCCCGCCCCUCCGGAGCGCCACGUGUCAAUGCCCAUCGACUUCUAUCGAGUGCUCGGCGCCGAAACACACUUUCUCGGUGACGGUAUCAGAAGAGCAUACGAAGCUAGGGUUUCAAAACCGCCUCAAUAUAGUUACAGUCACGAAGCCUUAAUUAGUCGAAGACAGAUUCUUCAAGCCGCCUGCGAAACCCUAGCUAAUCCUUUGUCAAGGAGGGAGUACAACGAAGGCCUUGCCGAAGACGAAUUCGAUACCAUCCUCACUCAAGUCCCCUGGGACAAGGUUCCUGGAUCGAUGUGUGUGUUGCAAGAAGCGGGAGAGACUGUGGCCGUUCUUCAAAUUGGAGAGGGUUUGCUGAGAGAGAGACUUCCCAAGUCAUUUAAGCAAGACAUUGUCUUGGCAAUGGCGCUUGCCUAUGUCGAUAUGUCGAGGGACGCCAUGUCAUUGUCUCCGCCGGAUUUCAUUAAAGGUUGUGAAGUGCUAGAAAGGGCUCUGAAGCUGUUGCAGGAGGAAGGUGCAAGUAGCCUUGCACCAGAUUUACAAGCACAGAUUGAUGAGACUCUGGAAGAGAUUACCCCGCGUUGUGUUUUGGAGCUUCUUGCUUUACCUCUUGGUGAUGAGUAUAGCAUGAAAAGGGAAGAGGGUCUUCAAGGUGUACGCAACAUCUUGUGGGCCGUUGGAGGAGGGGGUGCAGCUGCCAUUGCUGGAGGAUUUACCCGUGAAGAUUUUAUGAACGAGGCCUUCUUACGUAUGACAGCAGCAGAGCAGGUCAAUCUCUUUGCUGCUACACCCAGUAAUAUUCCGGCAGAAAGUUUUGAAGUUUAUGGAGUGGCACUUGCACUUGUUGCUCAGGCCUUUGUGGGUAAGAAACCUAAUCUCAUCCAAGAUGCUGAUAAUCUGUUUCAACAACUUCAGCAGACCAAAGUCACAGCUCUAGGGGAUUCUCUUUCUCCCUAUCCUGCUAUGGGAAACCGUGAGAUAGACUUUGCAUUGGAGAGGGGUCUUUGUUCGCUUCUUGUAGGGGAGCUUGAUGAUUGUCGCUCAUGGUUGGGUUUGGACAGCGACAACUCACCUUACAGAGAUCCCUCUAUUGUCAGCUUUGUCAUGGAAAAUUCCAAGGAUGACGAGGACAAUGAUCUUCUUCCUGGACUUUGCAAGUUGCUGGAGACAUGGUUGAUAGAGGUGGUUUUUCUCAGAUUUAGAGAUAUGGAAGAUAUAACGUUCAAGCUUGGAGAUUAUUAUGAUGAUCCCACAGUCCUGAGAUACUUAGAAAGGCUGGAGGGAUUAGGUGGUUCACCAUUAGCUGCAGCAGCAGCCAUUGCGAAAAUUGGGGCUGAAGCUACUGCAGUGCUUGGUAGUGUGAAGGAUAGUGCAAUUCAGACAUUACGAAAGGUAUUUCCACUUGGUCAUGGGGGUGGGAGUGUAAGACGUCAAGGAGAUGGUGAGAUAACUGAUUCGGUUAUUUCAUUAGAAAGUGAGGAGACGGGGGAGAAACAUGAUCAAGAUGAUUCCACCAACAUGCUUGAUAUCCCUGAGAAAAAUAGUUCUGAUGAAAUAACCGUGCAAGAAUUGAUUACUGACAAAAUAAAAGAUAGAAGUGUGAAGAUUAUGUGUGCUGGUGUGGUAAUUGGACUGAUGACUUUGGUUGGCUUGAAGUAUUUGCCAUCUAGGAGUGGCUUUUCAGUUCCACGUAAAGAUGUUGGUUCAGCAAUGGCUUCUGAUAUCAUUGAAGUAGGGCCCCCAGUAAUUGAAAAUACUGAGAAAAUGCCUAGAAUGGAUGCAAGGUUUGCUGAAGCUCUUGUUCGCAGGUGGCAGAACAUUAAAUCCCAGGCUCUUGGACCUGAUCAUUGCCUUGAAAAUUUGUCCGAGGUAUUGGAUGGUCAUAUGCUAAAGAUUUGGACAGACCGUGCUUCGGAAAUUGCACAGCACGGCUGGUUCUGGGACUACACUCUAUUAAACCUCACCAUUGAUAGUGUGACUAUCUCGCUUGAUGGACAGCGGGCCAUUGUGGAAGCAACUCUUGAAGAGUCAGCAAGCUUAACUGAUGUGGCCCAUCCAGAGCACAAUGACUCGUACAGUACAACCUAUACAACGAGGUAUGAGAUGUAUUGUGCCAACUCAGGAUGGAGAAUUACAGAAGGGGCUGUCCUCAAAUCAUAACCAUCAUGGAAUAUUGUAGCUCUACAUGUAGCGCAUGGUUUAAAUCCAUUUCUCGGCUCCUCUCCUGCUUGCUGACAAUCAUGAUCAAACCUUCUAAGGUUUGUAUAUGCUUCUCGCUUGCUUUUAUACUGCAGACUCUCAAUCGAGAACAGACCCAAAAAUCUCAUCUGCUCUCUUGCUCACUGGAGACCAUCUAGGAUUUGAAUCAAGCUUUGUGAUUGAUUAAACGACCAAAUUGUUUGUUCUAUCGAGGUACAGAGUGAAAGAAACAUGUCUUUAGCGAUAGAGAAGUGUGAGGCCUUCAACCGCAGCAUGCUUUAUGAUGAUGUUGAUUAUGGACCAUGGAGGACUGAUGAAGGCCUUAAUUCUUUGCUGAAAUAUAUAUUCCAAUUUCAUCGAGGAAGAAACAAAAUGAGCAUAAUUGUAAUUUUUCAAUUUCUUUGACUUUUAUUUAACUUUGUUUAUUCAUGAAAAUUUUGAAAAUGGACAUUUUAUUCAAAAUAAGUAAAUCAUUGAUAACAUGUUUGAUCAUUUUUAUAUUUUUUUAAAAUGAAGUCUUUUUGCUCGUA